UUGCAGAUGGACAGGAAAUAAGGCCUGAGUGACAACUUUAUUUGCAGAGGCAGAAACUGUGAGGACUAAGACGAAGGACAUCAAUUUCUCACUAUUGACUGAUGCAGAAGAUUGUAAGCAUGGGCCUGAUAUGCAGGUGGUAAUAGGCAUGAAGAAUAUGAGGAUUAUCUGGCUGCCUCAGUAACUUGCAGAAAUGGAAGCUGGUGAGAAAGAUAAAAUCUUUUCUUAUCUUUGGCUUAUCAUCCCUAGGAUGUUCACCUCAUCCACUUUUUGUAAAGAAUCAGACAAAAAUUAGCCUAGGGGUACACAGAGAUGGCUGAAACUCUCUUCUAAAACAAAACAAAAGCUAUCAGCAAAACAAUGCAGGUAACAUAUCAGGUAUUCUGAUUCUGGCUUAUACCUUAGGAUGGGCCUUCCAGAGAGAAAGUUAAUGACAGACAGGCAAUGUUGGAGCUAUAACUAGUACCUUUUGGCAGUUGGAAGGGUGCCGUGGUGUAUUUUGGUUUUCUUAACAAAAGAGGGCCCUUCUUCCAGCUGCUACUAUAAUGAUUAGUGAAAUGUGGAAGCUCAUUAAAGGCUCAUGCAUUACACUAGAAUUUAUUUUACUGAUUAAAGUAGCAAGUGGCAAGAUAGUUAAGAGCAAGAAGAUUGGUGUUUGUGCAGAAGCAUAUGAGAGACACGAAUAAGGCGAUCUGCAUAAUACACUCUGGUGGGAGUUCCUUUUCAAUUUAGCUCAUCUACAUGGGAAGUUCAUUAUGGUAUUUCCUUUAUAACUUACAUCUCUUCCAGAGUAGCAGAAUAAAACAAUUGAUGGUGCAG